GACGUAGGGCGCAAGCGUUGUCCGGAUUUACUGGGCGUAAAGGGCGCGUAGGCGGCGGAGUAAGUUGGGUGUGAAAUCCCGAGGCUCAACCUCGGAAUUGCAUUCAAUACUGCUUCGCUCGAGUACUGGAGAGGAGGCUGGAAUUUACGGUGUAGCAGUGAAAUGCGUAGAUAUCGUAAGGAAGGCCGGUGGCGAAAGCGAGCCUCUGGAUAGUUACUGACGCUGAUGCACGAAGGCCAGGGGAGCAAACGGG
rnacentral:rRNA from 1 species